rnacentral:rRNA from 1 species
GGUACUACAUGUACAGCAUAGGUGGGAGGCUUUGAUUCCAGGACGCCAGUUUUGGAUGAGCCACCGUUGGGAUACCACCCCUGUAGUACUGGGACUCUAACCAGAGGCCUUGAAUCAGGUCUUGGGACACUGUCAGGCGGGCAGUUUGACUGGGGCGGUCGCCUCCCAAAAGGUAACGGAGGCGCUCAAAGGUUCUCUCAGCACGGUCGGAAAUCGUGCAUAGAGUGUAAAGGCAUAAGAGAGCUUGAUUGCAAGACAUACAGGUCGAGCAAGGACGAAAGUCGGACUUAGUGAUCCGGUGGUUCUGAGUGGAAG